UACAGGGGGUGCAAACGUUGCUCGGAAUCAUUGGGCGUAAAGCGCACGUAGGCGGUCUGUUAUGUCGGAUGUGAAAGCCCUUGGCUUAACUGAGGAAGUGCAUCCGAAACUGGCAGGCUAGAGUACUAAAGAGGGUCGCGGAAUUCCCGGUGUAGAGGUGAAAUUCGUAGAUAUCAGGAAGAACACCAAUGGCGAAAGCAGCUCUCUGGGACGGUACUGACGCUGAGACGCGAAAGCGUGGGGAGCGAACAGG
rnacentral:rRNA from 1 species